rnacentral:tRNA from 1 species
UGGGGAGUGGUGUAGCUGGCAGCACGGGGCACUUUGGAUGCCCAGGAUCAGGUUCGAACCCUGGCUCCCCAG